AUUACAGGAUGCCCACUUAAAUUUUAGUUUCAGAGAAACAAUAGUUUUAGCAUAAGUAUAUCUCAUGCAAUAUUUGGGACAUACUUAUACCAAAUAUUACUGUUGUUUAUUUGAAGUUCAAAUUUAACUGGACAUCCUAUAUUUU
rnacentral:miRNA from 1 species